AACGAAUGCUGGCGGCAGGCCUAACACAUGCAAGUCGAGCGCCCCGCAAGGGGAGCGGCGGACGGGUGAGUAACGCGUGGGAAUAUGCCCUUUGCUACGGAAUAGUCUCGGGAAACUGGGGGUAAUACCGUAUACGCCCUUUGGGGGAAAGAUUUAUCGGCGAAGGAUUAGCCCGCGUUGGAUUAGGUAGUUGGUGGGGUAAUGGCCUACCAAGCCGACGAUCCAUAGCUGGUUUGAGAGGAUGAUCAGCCACACUGGGACUGAGACACGGCCCAGACUCCUACGGGAGGCAGCAGUGGGGAAUCUUAGACAAUGGGGGCAACCCUGAUCUAGCCAUGCCGCGUGAGUGAUGGAGGCCUUAGGGUUGUAAAGCUCUUUCAGCUGGGAAGAUAAUGACGGUACCAGCAGAAGAAGCCCCGGCUAACUCCGUG
rnacentral:rRNA from 1 species